UUGUACAGCCGGGGAGAUAGCGGUGCCCUGUACCUGCAAUCCGCUUUAGCAGGGGUGAUGUCUUGCCUCGGGUGCGUGCCUGUAAAAACGACCGUGGUAAGUAAUGUUGACGCGGGGGUCCUUGCGCAACAAAAACCUAUGAACCGUGUCAGGACAGGAAUGGAGCAGCACUAAGUGGGAGCUUUUGUGUGCCGUAAGACAGCCGCCGCAGAGUUAACUGCCUAGGAACGCUUAUGGACAGCAUUCAAAGCAAGACGUACGU
rnacentral:SRP_RNA from 1 species